UUUUUUUUUUGGUUUUUCGAGACAGGGUUUCUCUGUGUAGCCCUGGCUGUCCUGGAACUCACUUUCGUAGACCAGGCUGGCCUCGAACUCAGAAAUCCAUCUGCCUCUGCCUCCCGAGUGCUGGGAUUAAAGGCGUGCGCCACCACGCCCGGCAAGAAGACUUAAUCUCUUAGAGGUAAACUUAGUUAUCCACAUUCUACACCGUCAGCGUUGUGCAACACAAAGCUAUCCAUGUUACUAAAAUAGUGAACCGUUAAUCUAAAAUCCAUACUUGUAACAUGGUUAACAAAAAAUGCCUCGAAAUUACAGUUAUAGGUUUCCUGCUAGCUGCCCGUCUGCUUUGACUGGGAAUAGUGUCAGACUAAAAUCAUCAUGAGAUCUUUUUCAGGCAUUUCCGGGCUUGAUUUGCCGUGAGAGUCCACAUUUAACAUCAAUGGCUCCUUUGGAAAUCUUCCCUUUCAAGGUCUCACUGCCCAGAAUUAGAUCCCGGAGAAUGAGGGUACGUACUCUCCAAUCAAGUCUGAGGGCAGUGAACCAUUAGUACAGUAGUCUCCGCGUGGUGCCCUGAGGUCCUGUGAUUCAGCUGGGCUGAGGUUGUAAUUCUCAUCUGUUCUUUUGAAAAGGAGCAAAGAGCAGCUGCCUAGUGUCCUUGUCCUGAAACACAUUCUUCAAAAGCCACUGCUGCUGCUCUAAGCAGAUUAUUCAGCCCUAAGAGAUAGACCAGUAAACCCAAGGUGGCCCUUAGUAGGACAUAUAGGCUUCCAUAGCUGGGUGGCCUGGGACCAGCUUGCUCCAGGCAUGCCAGGGUGCCAGGCUUAAUGAUGUCUCUAAGAUUCAGUGUCUCUUCAAUUUUCAGUUAUGCGUCUUUUCGGGUUCUUUCGAAUGACUGUCAACUAUGUGUUCUCAAGAUGGCAGUUAUCUACAGCUCCAUCCUCAUCGUCCUUGUGAGGUUGAAAUUAAAAAGAGUUCGUUCAGCCACCUGCACUUAAACCACUGCCUGCUUUGGUCACAUCCAUUCCGUUCAGAGACACAGUGACUAAAGAGUGCUGUGACCAAUGCUGAGUCAGGUGUUUAUGCUUGCAUGAAGUCCUAUCUGCUAAUAGUGGGGAAGGGAUGGAGUCAGU
rnacentral:lncRNA from 1 species